GUUAUAUGGUCAAGUGAAUAAGCGCAUACGGUGGAUGCCUAGGCGGUAGUAGGCGAUGAAGGACGUGGUAAUCUGCGAUAAGCCCCGGCGAGCUGAUAAACAAGCUUUGACCCGAGGAUUUCCGAAUGGGAAAACCCACCCUGCUUGCAGGGUAUCUGCACCUGAAUUCAUAGGGUGUAGAGGCGAACCCGGGGAACUGAAACAUCUAAGUACCCGGAGGAAAAGAAAUCAACCGAGAUUCCCUUAGUAGCGGCGAGCGAACGGGGACCAGCCCUAAACUCUUUAUUAACCUAGCGAAACAGUCUGGAAAGUCUGGCCAUAGUGGGUGAUAGCCCCGUACGCGAAAGGUUCUUAAAGAUUAUUCGAGUAGGACGGCGCACGUGAAACGUUGGCUGAACAUGGGGGGACGAUGCUCCAAGGUUAAAUACUAGCUACCGAGCGAUCGUGAGCCAGUACCGUGUGGGAAAGGCGAAAAGAACCCCUG
rnacentral:rRNA from 1 species